UUGAACGCUGGCGGCAGGCCUAACACAUGCAAGUCGAACGGUAACAGGAAACAGCUUGCUGUUUCGCUGACGAGUGGCGGACGGGUGAGUAAUGUCUGGGAAACUGCCUGAUGGAGGGGGAUAACUACUGGAAACGGUAGCUAAUACCGCAUAACGUCGCAAGACCAAAGAGGGGGACCUUCGGGCCUCUUGCCAUCGGAUGUGCCCAGAUGGGAUUAGCUUGUUGGUGGGGUAACGGCUCACCAAGGCGACGAUCCCUAGCUGGUCUGAGAGGAUGACCAGCCACACUGGAACUGAGACACGGUCCAGACUCCUACGGGAGGCAGCAGUGGGGAAUAUUGCACAAUGGGCGCAAGCCUGAUGCAGCCAUGCCGCGUGUAUGAAGAAGGCCUUCGGGUUGUAAAGUACUUUCAGCGGGGAGGAAGGGAGUAAAGUUAAUACCUUUGCUCAUUGACGUUACCCGCAGAAGAAGCACCGGCUAACUCCGUGCCAGCAGCCGCGGUAAUACGGAGGGUGCAAGCGUUAAUCGGAAUUACUGGGCGUAAAGCGCACGCAGGCGGUUUGUUAAGUCAGAUGUGAAAUCCCCGGGCUCAACCUGGGAACUGCAUCUGAUACUGGCAAGCUUGAGUCUCGUAGAGGGGGGUAGAAUUCCAGGUGUAGCGGUGAAAUGCGUAGAGAUCUGGAGGAAUACCGGUGGCGAAGGCGGCCCCCUGGACGAAGACUGACGCUCAGGUGCGAAAGCGUGGGGAGCAAACAGGAUUAGAUACCCUGGUAGUCCACGCCGUAAACGAUGUCGACUUGGAGGUUGUGCCCUUGAGGCGUGGCUUCCGGAGCUAACGCGUUAAGUCGACCGCCUGGGGAGUACGGCCGCAAGGUUAAAACUCAAAUGAAUUGACGGGGGCCCGCACAAGCGGUGGAGUAUGUGGUUUAAUUCGACGCAACGCGAAGAACCUUACCUGGUCUUGACAUCCACGGAAGUUUUCAGAGAUGAGAAUGUGCCUUCGGGAACCGUGAGACAGGUGCUGCAUGGCUGUCGUCAGCUCGUGUUGUGAAAUGUUGGGUUAAGUCCCGCAACGAGCGCAACCCUUAUCCUUUGUUGCCAGCGGUCCGGCCGGGAACUCAAAGGAGACUGCCAGUGAUAAACUGGAGGAAGGUGGGGAUGACGUCAAGUCAUCAUGGCCCUUACGACCAGGGCUACACACGUGCUACAAUGGCGCAUACAAAGAGAAGCGACCUCGCGAGAGCAAGCGGACCUCAUAAAGUGCGUCGUAGUCCGGAUUGGAGUCUGCAACUCGACUCCAUGAAGUCGGAAUCGCUAGUAAUCGUGGAUCAGAAUGCCACGGUGAAUACGUUCCCGGGCCUUGUACACACCGCCCGUCACACCAUGGGAGUGGGUUGCAAAAGAAGUAGGUAGCUUAACCUUCGGGAGGGCGCUUACCACUUUGUGAUUCAUGACUGGGGUG
rnacentral:rRNA from 1 species